rnacentral:misc_RNA from 1 species
CUAACACAAUAUUUGGCACUCCCUUAUUGAGUCAAAGGUUAGUAUAUAAGGUCUCACAUCUUCGAAUAAUUCAAUUGAACCCUAACUAUCUUAUUCAUUUUCAUCGCUUACCUUUCGCAAGACAUCCACUAACUUAAGCAUCGGAGUACCAAUGGGGGGAGACACCCCAUUGGCCUUCUAACCUUCCUUUGUCUUGCAGAUAAUACCCAGCCAGUUAUACCGUUGAGAUACUGGUCAGAUAUGUCAAUAUUGCCCACAUACCAUCUCCUUACACCUACGCCAAUCCAAAUAUCCUCUAACACUAAUCCACAUGGCAUCCAUCCACAAUACCCCCAGUAUCACAAAAACAUCAAUCUUUCCCAAGAAUAAGCUAUCUAUGUUGGCAGCAUAAUUUGCUCCUUCCCAUAAGUCACUCACAAACAUUCCAAGAUAUAUCAUGCUGAAUGGUCG